rnacentral:lncRNA from 1 species
GGAGGAAGGGAAAAGAAUACAAGAAAAAAGGAAAAUGCAGCUUUUGCAAAUGGGAAGGAGAUCUAGAGUUGGGAGGAACAGGAAGGGAGAAGGGGAAGAGGGAAUAAAAAAAGAUUCAUUGAAGAAUUAUUAAAAGUAAUUUCAGAAAGAGAGAAAGAAAGAACUGGUCUCCAGAAUGAAUUAGAUUCUUUGAAGGAUGCUGUUGAACAUCAGAGGAAGAAAAACAAUGAAAGACAAUAUGUGGAAGCUGUUGAGUUGGAGGCUAAAGAAGUUCUUAAAAAAUUAUUUCCAAAGGUGUCUAUCCCUUCUAAUUAGAGUUACAGUGAAUGGUUGCAUGGAUUUGAAAAGAAAGCAAAAGAGUGUAUAGCUGGAACUUCAGGUUCAGAAGAAGUUAAGGUUUUAGAGUAUAAGUUGAAAGAAGCUGAUGAAACACACACACUAUUACAGCUGGAGUGUGAUAUGUAUAAAUCAGUUCUUGCAGAAACACUGAGAAGAGAGCAAGAGCAUUUGGAAAUGAAACUAGAGAAGGCAGAAAUUGAACGGUCUACUUAUGUUACAGAAGUGAGAGAGCUGAAAGAUCUGUUGACUGAAUUGCAGAAAAAACUUGAUGAUUCAUAUUCUGAAGCAGUAAGACAGAAUGAAGAGCUAAAUUUGUUGAAGACAUAGUUAAAUAAAACACUCAAGAAAAUUAAAACUGAACAAAGUGAAAGACAGAAGGUAGCUGGUGAUUUGGAUAAGGCACAACAGUUUCUGGAUCUUAUCCAGUCAAAAAUAGUACAAGCUUCUGGAGAUACUACUGUUAUUGAGAAUAGUGAUGUUUCCCCAGAAAUGGAGUCUUCAGAAAAGGAGACGAUGUCUGUAAGUCUAAAUCAGACUAUAGCACAGUUAUAGCAGUUGCUUCAGGCUGUAAACAGCUCACAAAGGAGAAAUAACACUACCAGGUUUGGAGUGAAGUAAUUGGGAAAUUUCAGUUGAGGACAGCAGAAGGCAUUGUAUUAUAUUUUGCCAAAUUAAAGCCUUAUUUAUGUUUUUACCCUUUCUACUUUGUCAGAAACACUGAACAGAGUUUUGUCUUUUCUAAUCCUUGUUAGACUACUGAUUUAAAGAGAAAAAUUUAAAAAGAAACCAACUCUGUAGACACCUUCAGAAUUUAGUUUUAUAAUAAAAACUGUUUGAAUAAUUAGACCUUUACAUUCCUGAAGAUAAACUUGUAAUAUUUUACCUUGAUCAAUUCAAUUGUUCAGAAGAUCAAAGUGGUAAAGACAAUGUAAAAUUUAACAUUUUAAUACUGAUGUUGUACACUGUUUUACUUAACACUUUGGGGGAGUAACUGCCUCUGACAUCAACUCAAGACACUUUUGUUGCUAAUGUAAUCAGUUUUUGUAAUGGCGGUCAGCAAAUAAAGGGAUGCUUAUUAUUCAAACUUGAAAAAAA